GGGUGACUAGCUCAAUGGUAGAGCAGCGGACUCUUAAUCCGGUGGUUCAGGGUUCGAGCCCCUGGUCACCCA
rnacentral:tRNA from 1 species